UUCCUAAGUUGAAACAUUAUUAUUUUGUUGUUGAAAAAUUAAUAUGAAUUUGGGUAACCCUUCAAAUUGCAGCCCGAUACUUACAAGUGUUGAAGUCAACACUUCCCCGAGUUGGUUUGUUGGAAAGGAGAAUAAAACACCAGGAGUCAGGUCAAUUACCGUACCGCAUAUUCCGUUUAUUACAAAAGCUUUUGGAGGUAAGUGUCGCCGCACAAUGUCUAAGGAUCAACCGUCAAAACAGCAUUUUAUACUUCAACUACGCCCAAAAGAUAGAGGCGUCAAGUUAGCAAAGCAAGUGUGCCAUUGGCCAAAUUCCAGUUCUAUUCCUUAUAAGGAUAAAUGCAAACAUCUUCUUGCCCCCUUCUGGUUUCUGUCUUGUCUGUCAGAGUAUGUGUGUAUGUCUCUAACCUGUGUCCUGUUUCUCAAAAGACAGACAUACUAAAUCUUUCUCUCCCCGGCAACCGCUUGAACAGGGUUUCCUGUUCUCCUACUUGCACCUUCAGUUUCAAAUCAAGUUACAAACACUUAAUAUUUUGCUUCAUUGCUUACAACAGUUCACUAACUUAACAUACAAUCAAUAUAUCUACAAUUCCCCCUUUUGAUCUUUCCCCAGAGAGAUCACCCCUAUUCGCCAAGCUCCAGUUCUCCCGGGUCAUGCUGCUCCAGUAGAGGCAUCAGCAUCCUGGUGGCGGUCCUGGAGCCUUUUCAAUGGCUGUAGAGAUAACUCUCAUGGCAAGCCCUCUUAUUCAUGGGAUACAACAACAACCACAAGUGACCAUUAUAGCACCAAAUGUAGCAAGCGAUAAAAGAACAGACAUUAUCAAACCUUUCCACUGGCCGAACAUCGAGGUCAGCAAUUCCUCCAGCGGAUUAUCUAUCCCAGAAUGCUCGUAUGCGACCCCUUGACAUAGUCCAAUUCAAUCCCCCAAAUUUCCUCAAACAGGUGUCCUCAGGUGGGGUCGCGAACCUCUUCGCUGGGGGAAUGAAGACCCGAUGCCAACCUGGGAAACCUGUAAUAACAUACAACACACAUCAUUAUUCCCCCAAUGCCCAUAUACCAUUUCAUUCUACUAUCAUCUCCCCAGGCCCUUCUCUGUGACCCUGUCAUCUUGGUACGAGUGGUAGGAGCCACUCGGUGUCCUAUACCCCCUUUUGUUACAGUAUUCCUCAGUUCCUUCCCCUAAGAGUCUAUUCCCCUGGCGCCGUCCUUUGUCUCCUUCACUCGCUCGUAGUCCCGCCGUGUCCUGGGGUCCGCUCCUGGCACCGGUCUGGCUGGUGCUGGUCCUCCUUCCGUCCACACUGUGGAAAGCUCCUUCUUCCCGGUUUGGAUGAGGUCCGUCAGCGACCUCCCUGGCUCCUGCGCUGGUGUACACUGGUUCCAAUGGUACCAGGUCUCUCCUUUGUCCCUCAGGCGGACCGCAUGGCUCGUUCUCUCCACCACCUGAUGAGGACCCGUCCACCUUGGCUCCGACCACUUUCGCUUGAUGACCUUCAGCAGCACCCACUCCGCCUGGGGCAGGUUCUGGUCCAGCGGGUGCAGGUCUCUCCUUUGUCCCUCAGGCGGACCGCAUGACUCGUUCUCUCCACCACCUGAUGAGGACCCGUCCACCUUGGCUCCGACCACUUUCGCUUGAUGACCUUCAGCAACACCCACUCCGCCUGGGGCAGGUUCUGGUCCAGCAGGUGCAGGUCCCUCCUUUCUCCGACUCUGUUGGUGAAUUCUGAAACGAGAGCUCGCAAUUCAUCAAAAUACACUCUGUGAUCUUUGGGCCACUUUUCCCCUUCCGGGCCUGCAGGCCCCGCGGUUGGUCCUGGAAACUGUCUCCCCGUCAGCAGCUCGUAUGGGGUGAACCCAGUGGUCUGAUUUAACGAGCAUCGAAUCGUCAUGAGUGCCAGUGGCAGUGCAUCUACCCAGUUCAAUUUAGUCUGUGCACAUAUCUU
ensembl:lncRNA